CCACUGGACCACCAGGGCAAGUAUUUUUAAACCCCCCUCUACCCCUGUCACUCACUGCCCCUCCUCCCCCCUUCUACCCACUGUCACUCACUGCCCCUCCUGAAGAGAAUGAUUUGACUCACCAGAACAAAUGCAAUAAGCUGUAGUUGUUCUGGUGACUAUAGUGUCCAUUUAAGUUUUCAGCAAGUUGAGCUACAAUAGCUCAUCUGUGUGAGUCAGUGAACCUUGGGCGCUUAUGACCCUGAUGCCAGUUCACCAGUUUUCCUGUCUUGCACCACUUUU